UACGUAAACAACCCCAGGCUGACACCGG
rnacentral:rasiRNA from 1 species